UACGGGGGGGGCAAGCGUUGUUCGGAAUUACUGGGCGUAAAGGGCGCGUAGGCGGCCUUCUAAGUCAGACGUGAAAUCCCCCGGCUUAACCUGGGAACUGCGUCUGAUACUGGAGGGCUUGAGUGCGGGAGAGGGAUGUGGAAUUCCAGGUGUAGCGGUGAAAUGCGUAGAUAUCUGGAGGAAUACCGGUGGCGAAGGCGGCAUCCUGGACCAUUUACUGACGCUGAGGCGCGAAAGCUAGGGGAGCAAACGGGG
rnacentral:rRNA from 1 species